CCAGAUCCGCCUGCGUGCAAAGGGGUGGUUCAUGAUCAUCCAUUCAGACCAAAAGCAUGUUGUUUAUUUGAGUUAUAGGUGAUGGUGCUAUAAGGAAAGCAGUGCUUGUUGCAAAAGCUAGGGAGAAGGAUGUAGGACAAUCACACUCUGUUGUA